GACGAACGCUGGCGGCGUGCUUAACACAUGCAAGUCGAACGGAAAGGCCCUGCUUUUGUGGGGUGCUCGAGUGGCGAACGGGUGAGUAACACGUGAGUAACCUGCCCUUGACUUUGGGAUAACUUCAGGAAACUGGGGCUAAUACCGGAUAGGAGUUCCUGCUGCAUGGUGGGGGUUGGAAAGUUUCGGCGGUUGGGGAUGGACUCGCGGCGUAUCAGCUUGUUGGUGGGGUAGUGGCUUACCAAGGCUUUGACGGGUAGCCGGCCUGAGAGGGUGACCGGCCACAUUGGGACGGAGAUAAGGCCCAGACUCCUACGGGAGGCAGAAGUGGGGAAUAUUGCACAAUGGGCGGAAGCCUGAUGCAGCAACGCCGCGUGCGGGAUGACGGCCUUCGGGUUGUAAACCGCUUUCGCCUGUGACGAAGCGCGAGUGACAGUAAUGGGUAAAGAAGCACCGGCUAACUACGUG
rnacentral:rRNA from 1 species